GGCUCGGGGGAAUCACCCCGUGACUUGUGACACGUGCAUUUGCCGGAGGCGGCGCUUCGGAGCCGCGGCCCCUGCUUCCCUCCUGCAAGUCCGGCCGCUCGCGGUGAUUCGCGGGGACUCCGCCCCUUCGGCACCGCGGGGCGCGCCCGACCCCUGACCCCCGAACGCCGCAGGCCCUCGCCCGCAGGCCGCACGGCCCAAGGCCCAGCGCUGAGCAAGGGGUCCUUCCAGAGUCAGUUUUCCGACUGUGGCGUCUUCAGGGACCGGGCCGUCCCUCCCCACUGGCUGGAGGUUAUUACAAGAUAUUGAAUAUAGUUCUCGGUGCUCUACGCUAGGUAAAUGGCCUCUUCUCCAGAGCUUUGUCAUGGAAAUCCCCAGAAAAUAAUUGGUUGGAAGUCAAAGAACCCAAAAAAACAAAGGGAAAGGAUUUGGGAAGUGGACUUGGCCAGGUAUGUAUUGUUCCCAAAUUGCUUACAUUAAUGAGCUCCCAGGGAUACAGUUGCUCUGGAGACAGGGCUUCCUGCAAGCCAAGAAGCAGCUCUGAACUGAGAUCAUCUUCACAGAAAGGACAUCCCUGGUGGAGAUGGCAGCUUGGGAGGGUGCAACAGCCUGGGGCCAAGAGAACUAAGAUCCAGCAGAAUGCAGAGUGAGCCUCAGGCUGGACACGUGGAUUCCCUCCGGAGAAAAACCCUGAGUCUCCUGGAGGUGAAAUUCCCUCUUGUGCAUCAAAUAUGAAGAUCAGUACAGUCUUCGUGGAGGACAGAUUAGAUAUAUGUACCCAAAGUCUUGAAAUGUUUGUUCCCAGUAAUUUCCUCCCUAGGAAUGUAUUCCGAGGUCAUAAUUAGAGGCGUGCUAAAGGACUUGUGCGGAGCGACCUGCCCCCAGGGUUAUUUAUAUGAGAGUGAGUGGAAACGUCUUGAGCGCUCGCACUAGAUGGCUGUUGAGGUAGAUUAAAUCCAGAUGAUGGUGAAAAACUUUAAAACUUAAGUACAUGGGAAAUUUUUCUCACAGUAUAGAGUUAAUUGGAAAGGGCAGAUUACAAAACAAGGAAACGAGAUGAUCUCCAUUUGGGGUACGUGUAUGAUUGUGUGUGUGAGAGAGUGUGCGUCCCCAGGCCGUAUCUAACCAGGAAAAGACGGUAUAACAUGACUCACAGAAAUGGUAACGACGCGCUACAGUUUGGAUCUAGCUGCCGUUUUGUAGUUGCUGGGAUGGAAGGCCAUUUAGAGCCGUGGUCAGGGGUCCCAGGGCUAGACUCAAGCUCGCUGGGAUCUGGCUGGACCCCUGUCUACCUGUGUGGUUUUGAGCAGCUUCUUCAUCCCUCUGAUGAGUUUAUGUGCUUGGAAAAGAUGGCCUGUCAUCCGUCAUCAGCCCCAUCCCAGGGACUGUGUUUAAACACCAAAGAGCAGGCUCCUGGCCAGGGGAUCCUUAUGUCUGUGGGGUAGGGGUGGAGGUGGGGUGUGGAGAGCAAGCAGUAGGCUGGGAGCUUUGAGAGAGUGAGAGGAAAGAGGUUUUAAGACAACUUUUCUCUCUUUUAUGAGCGUAACUGCCCUUUGGUUCCUUGUAAAACAAAUUUAGGAAAGAUCUGCAGUAUUUCUCAAGGCUAUUUUUGGAGUUGAACUUGGAUCUGACUUUGAUUUCUUCUCCAUGGGAACAUGGUGAGAUGGGCCGUGAGGUUGCCCAUCUUUACUCGGUUUCAUAAAUGUGCUACAGGGAGAGAGGACACCAGACUGAUGGCAGCUUCAAGAAUAGUUUGCGUAUGGCCCUCAAAAGCAUCCCUCCAGGCUAACGCCCCCCCAGCCACAAUCCCUGGGUGGAUGGCUACCGAGGAGUUCCUUCCCUCCAAUGGGCCGUCUUCCCAACAGACACGCUCACGGGAGGCCGGGCAGGUCGCUCCCUGACUGUUUUCUGAGUGGGGGCGGAGACAGGCAGGGGUGCCUGCAAGUCAGUGCAGCCCAUCAUCAUGAUGGCACCUCCACCCCAGCACCUGCCCAGGCUGCCCAAGGUCACACCAGGAGCCUACUCAGCCUCUCACCCUAGCACCUUCUCCUUACGAGAAACAGUCCACAUUAAGAAAGAAAAAACGGGUAGCACAGAGGCGACGGCACCGAACUGCCUGUGAUCGAAUUGAAUCCCAGCUCUGCACAGUAAAAACGGGCCUGUUUCCUCAUCUGUAAAGGGGUGGCCAUAGGUGCUUUGGGGCGUCGCUGUAGAAAGCCCCUGGCACUGUGCCCAGCACAGCAUAAACCCUCUUUCACUUGGCCGUGGUGAUGCACUUUCACGAAGGAUCUGAGGCCUGAUGGCUGCAGAAUGCACGUGCCUGGGUAUCCAUUUCUGUCUCUCAGUGUGGUCCCAGCCCCACUGCGCAGAGGGCGGGAGGUGUGUAAAGGGACAAGAAUCAUGAUAAUUCAAGUGGCGACAUUUGGGGAUUCUCUCCCACUCCUGGGGUCCAUCCCAUUCGGUGCAGGCAGAGCUGUUAGUCAGCUCGGGCUGCUGUAGCAAAGUACCACAGGUGGGGCCGCUUAAACAACAGAAAUUUAUUUUCUCACAGUUCUGGAGACUGGAAAUCCAAGAUCAAGGUGUCAUCGGGGUUGGUUUCUUGUGAGGCCUCCCUCCUUGCCUUGUAGACGGCCAUCUUGCCCUGUAUCUUCACAUGGUCAUCCCUCUGUGCAUCUCUGUGUCCUAAUCUCCUCUUCUUGUGAGGACACCAGUCAUAUGGGAUAUGGGAUUAGGGCCUACCCCAGUGACCUCUUUUCACCUUACUACCUCUUUA